UACACAAGUAUAAAGUAGACAUAGUACUAGUGUCGAUUUACACAAUCGAAUACCGCCGGAAGUAGAACAUUUAUGUCAACACCGGUUUCGUAUUUUCACGUGAAAUCGGCCGAAAACUGAGAGGUUAUCAACAAAUUAUAAGUUUACGGGUACCAUGAGGAUUUUUCAUGCAUUUAAACGACAGAAGUACAAGCGAACAGAUGACACAUUAAAGUGGCUGCAGAAGCUUGAAAAGUUAGAUAGAGCAGGGACAGUCAAAACUGUGGGAUAAUACUUCUAUUGUAAAAUGUUCUGUGGAUUCAUAUGAUGAGAAUGCCAAUGUUGAUCUGUAUGACUUAAUUAAACACAGAUAUUUAUACCUUCAGAUAUAUACCUGUGAAAUCUUCAGUGUCACCGUUCAGCUAUUGUUCAAGAUCAGUGUCUGCAGCUUGCACAGUUUAGUAUAGAAGAGCCUUCUGAAUCAAUUUUGUUACAUAUUUGCUGUUAUUGUAGGACGCAUAUGUAGAGAGCAACAAGUCCUGUCCAACUGUGCAUGUAAAUGUGAUUCAGAAACUUUGAGAAUAUGUAAACAUUACACUGUUAUAAUUUACAAAAUACUGUGUCUUGUAGUGUAUCAGUACUGUUUUGUCUCAGUUUAUAGCACAGUAUGUUCACAA
rnacentral:lncRNA from 1 species